rnacentral:rRNA from 1 species
UCAAAAAGACGCUUACACUACGCUUGUAGGCGCCGCCCAAGGAUGGGGGCCGCGACCGAUCAGGUUGUUGGUGAGGUAAUGGCUCACCAAGCCUUUUACCGGUGCGGGCCGUGAGAGCGGGAGCCCGGAGAUGGGCACUGAGACAAGGGCCCAGGCCCUACGGGGCGCAGCAGUCGCGAAAACUUUGCAAUAAGCGAAAGCUUGACAGGGCUAUCCCGAGUGCCAUCCGCUGAGGAAGGCUUUUACCCAGUCUAGAACGCUGGGGGAAUAAGGAGAGGGCAAGUCUGGUGUCAGCCGCCGCGGUAAUACCAGCUCUCCGAGUGGUGUGGAUGUUUAUUGGGCCUAAAGCAUCCGUAGCUGGCUAGGUUAGUCCCUUGUUAAAUCCACCGAAUUAAUCGUUGGAUUGCGGGGGAUACUGCCUGGCUAGGGGACGAGAGAGGCAGACGGUAUUUCCGGGGUAGGGGUGAAAUCCUAUAAUCCCGGGAGGACCACCAGUGGCGAAGGCUGUCUGCUAGAACGCGCCCGACGGUGAGGGAUGAAAGCUGGGGGAGCGAACCGGAUUAGAUACCCGGGUAGUCCCAGCUGUAAACGAUGCAGACUAGGUGUUUGGACGGCCACGUGCCGUUCUAGUGCCGCAGGGAAGCUGUUAAGUCUGCCGCCUAGGGAGUACGAUCGCAAGAUUGAAACUUAAAGGAAUUGGCGGGGGAGCACCACAAGGGGUGAAGCUUGCGGUUUAAUUGGAUUCAACGCCG